GAGAGAGAGAGAGAGAGAGAGCGAGAGAGAGAGCAGUCAAAGGCUUCCUAUCUCUAUAAUUACAGUCAGUUGUGAUCUGCCUGAUGUGGGCCAAACCCUGGUCCUCUGCAAGAGCAGUGCAUGUUCCUAACUGCUGAAUCCCCUCAGCCCCUGUACAACUUUGUGAGUUUUGGUGUGAGUCCUCGUUGGCCAUUUGUGUAAUGAAAAAAGAAAAAAACAAUAUAACAACCAACCAAUCUCCCUCCACAAAAAAUGUCAUGUGUGCGUGCGUGUAUGUGCGUAUGUAUGUGUGUGUUUAUAUAUGUAUGUGUGUGUGUAUGAGUGUGUGUGUAUGUGUGUAUGUAUGUGUAUGAGUGUGUGUGUAUGUGUGUAUGUAUGUGUAUGUGUGUGUGUGUACAUGUACAAAUGAAAAUCAAACACCUUGGUUUUGUUUGUUUGGUUGGUUGUUUUGCUUUUGAGAGUGGAUCACUGACCCACCUCAAACUUAUCAAAUAGACCAGGCUGGGGCAUCAAGACCCUGAAUCUUCCUAUUUCUGCUUCCCCCUUAAGGUAGGUUCUGGGACCAAACUCGGGUCCUUGAACAUUUGAGGGAGACAUUUGACCUACUGAGUCCUCUUCCCAGUGCAGGCAGGUAAUCUUAACCCAUAUCAACAUAUGGGUUGUGUCUAGAAUUUAUGCAGCAGGAUGGUAACCAGGUUUCUGGUUCUAGAAUUCUAUGGUUUGGUGGCAAAACAAACUAAAGAAAGAUCUCACAGGUCACUACAGGACUAAUGGCUUUCUUGGAAUUUUUUUUUCUUUCAUUCUGAAAGAGAAGAGCUUGGGCAGUAUUUGGAGUCGGGUCAAGGUGACAGUGGUUGCUACUGCCCCUGUGAAGAAACGAUAGCAGGGGAAGAGAGCUGGGAAGAACGAAAUCGGAAGAUAAUUCUGGAAAUGGACUUUCUUUCCUAUUGCAAAGGAGGCAAAGUUUGCUUGUAUCAAACGUCAUUGCUAAAGUUCUAGUAAACUGACUGUUCUCCAGAGGGCGGCCUCCAUAAUGAAAAGACUGAUUAUUUUGGCCUAGCCAGGAAAGAUUUGGUCCAUUAGGCAGAAGUGACUUUGUUAAUGAUAAUACAGCCUUCCUCUUAUCAGAUAGAGCAUGAGGAGGCCCACACAAGUGACAUCAGUGCAUUUGGAAACCUGGUGAAGAACUGUGGUGUAUUGGUGGCUUAUAUCACUACUAUGUCAAAAUGCCUGACAGGAAGUGAUAUAAAGGCAUGGAAGGUUUUCCUGCCUUACAGUUCAGGAUGAUUCCUUUCAUCCUUGUGGAGAAGGUGUGGGGCAGGAGCCAGAGUCUGUCUAGUCACAUUGCUUCAACAGUCAAGAAGGAGAGAGUGAACAGGAGGGAGGGCUGGGCCAGAGAACCUCAGGGCCUACCCUAGACUUCAAAUAGCAAGACUCUACCUCCUGAUGGUUCCACAAUUCUACCAAACAGCCAGCAGCUGGGGAGCAAGUGUGCAAAGACAAGGAGGCAUGAAGGGCAGACCACAUAAACCAUAAUGAUAGUAACGGCCUCCAUAGAGGACUAUAUGGUUAGUUAGCCUGGCUAGCAGCCCUUUGAUGGGUUCUCCCAUGUGGUGUCUCUCUCUGAACUGCUCCCAGGUAACUGACAGGAAUUGAACCUAUCAGAAUACAGAAAACUUCUCUCCA